rnacentral:rRNA from 1 species
UACAGGGGGGUGCUAGCGUUGUUCGGAAUUACUGGGCGUAAAAGGGCGCGUAGGCGGUUUUUAUAAGUCAGGAGUGAAAUCCCCGGAGCUUAACUUCGGAAAUUGCUUUUUGAAAACUAUAAGGCUAGAGUAAGUUAGAGGAUGUCGGAAUUCCUAGUGUAGAAGUGAAAUUCGUAGAUAUUAGGAAGAACACCGGUGGCGAAGGCGGACAUCUGGGACUUAACUGACGCUGAGGCGCGAAAGCGUGGGGAUCAAACA